GACGAACGCUGGCGGCGUGCUUAACACAUGCAAGUCGAACGAUGAUGCUGGGGCUUGCUUCAGCGGAUUAGUGGCGAACGGGUGAGUAACACGUGAGUAACCUGCCCUUGACUCUGGGAUAAGCGUUGGAAACGACGUCUAAUACCGGAUACGACGGCCCGCCGCAUGGUGUGGUUGUGGAAAGAUUUUUUGGUCAGGGAUGGACUCGCGGCCUAUCAGGUUGUUGGUGGGGUAAUGGCUCACCAAGCCUACGACGGGUAGCCGGCCUGAGAGGGUGACCGGCCACACUGGGACUGAGACACGGCCCAGACUCCUACGGGAGGCAGCAGUGGGGAAUAUUGCACAAUGGGCGAAAGCCUGAUGCAGCAACGCCGCGUGAGGGAUGACGGCCUUCGGGUUGUAAACCUCUUUUAGUACAGAAGAAGCCAGCUUGCUGGUGACGGUAUGUGCAGAANAAGCACCGGCUAACUACGUGCCAGCAGCCGCGGUAAUACGUANGGUGCAAGCGUUGUCCCGGAAUAUUGNNGCGUAAGAGCUCGUANGCGGUUUGUCGCGUCUGCUGUGAAAUCCUGAGGCUCAACCUCGGGCUUGCAGUGGGUACGGGCAGACUAGAGUGCGGUAGGGGAGAUUGGAAUUCCUGGUGUAGCGGUGGAAUGCGCAGAUAUCAGGAGGAACACCGAUGGCGAAGGCAGAUCUCUGGGCCGUAACUGACGCUGAGGAGCGAAAGCAUGGGGAGCGAACAGGAUUAGAUACCCUGGUAGUCCAUGCCGUAAACGUUGGGAACUAGAUGUAGGGGCCAUUCCACGGUUUCUGUGUCGCAGCUAACGCAUUAAGUUCCCCGCCUGGGGAGUACGGCCGCAAGGCUAAAACUCAAAGGAAUUGACGGGGGCCCGCACAAGCGGCGGAGCAUGCGGAUUAAUUCGAUGCAACGCGAAGAACCUUACCAAGGCUUGACAUGAACGAGAACGGGCCAGAAAUGGUCAACUCUUUGGACACUCGUUUACAGGUGGUGCAUGGUUGUCGUCAGCUCGUGUCGUGAGAUGUUGGGUUAAGUCCCGCAACGAGCGCAACCCUCGUUCUAUGUUGCCAGCACGUUAUGGUGGGAACUCAUAGGAGACUGCCGGGGUCAACUCGGAGGAAGGUGGGGAUGACGUCAAAUCAUCAUGCCCCUUAUGUCUUGGGCUUCACGCAUGCUACAAUGGCCGGUACAAAGGGCUGCAAUACCGUAAGGUGGAGCGAAUCCCAAAAAGCCGGUCUCAGUUCGGAUUGAGGUCUGCAACUCGACCUCAUGAAGUCGGAGUCGCUAGUAAUCGCAGAUCAGCAACGCUGCGGUGAAUACGUUCCCGGGCCU
rnacentral:rRNA from 1 species